rnacentral:lncRNA from 1 species
GCCCCCUCCACAAGCUCAUGUACCAGCUCGCCGUCUUCGAGCGCCUCCCCCACCUUUUCUCCGCCACUGAGUCCUCCCUUUCAUCCAACCUCUUCAACACUCCUCCUUUCCAAUCCUUCACCGUCUUCCUCCUUGAAGUCUCCCCCACACCCUUCCCUGACGCCCCUGUCGGCGCCCAUCCUCCGAUCACCCACGUCAUCAAUCUAGAUCUCCCCAUCGCAGACCCUGAAUCGCAAGAAUUCGGAUCGGGCGGCGACGCCGUGGUGGCAGGGUUCGUGCUGUUU